rnacentral:rRNA from 1 species
AUGCCUUGCUAUGUGUGCAGACAUAUGCACGACCCGAUCAUUAUGAAGGGGGGUAAUACAGUCAAAUUAUUGAGUAUACUCGUGCUGGCCGUCUGGGUUUUGUUGGCUGGUAGUGUUCGAUCUGAUACAAGUUUGAAUACUUGUAGAGAAGACUCCAAACUCCGGGCACCCAAUUACCCCGGUGAAAAAUAUACAGUCGACACCGGGAGUCCUGAUGCCUACAGGAAGAUGAUCGCUCGCCUGCGGGAGCUGCUGACAAUCCGCCGGGAGUACCGGCGAGGAAUACCGAUACUUCCUGAGCGAAUAAACGUGUCUGAUUCUGAACAGUACAUCUUACUUGAAAUCACUCUCGGCGACACAACAGGAGGUGUAACAUUUGCUAUCGAUGUGACCAACGUUUACAUCGUUGGUUAUCUUGUUAAUAGCACCAGAUACUUCUUUCUGGAAGCUCCAGCCAGGGCAGAGGACCUUCUCUUCACAACUGCGGAUAAUCAAACUUCACCAAGGAGGUCAUCCAACUAUGUAAAGUUGGAACAAAAUGCUGGUGCGAGCAGGAGUGCAAUCCCGCUGGGGCUAGCUAGUCUGGCUAACGCCAUCAGAAGACUCGUAUCCGGAAGACCAGAAGAUGCAAGGAGAACUUAUCCAAUAUAA